rnacentral:rRNA from 1 species
UCUGGUGGGGGAUGGGCUCGCGGCCUAUCAGCUUGUUGGUGGGGUGAUGGCCUACCAAGGCUUUGACGGGUAGCCGGCCUGAGAGGGUGACCGGUCACAUUGGGACUGAGAUACGGCCCAGACUCCUACGGGAGGCAGCAGUGGGGAAUAUUGCACAAUGGGCGAAAGCCUGAUGCAGCGACGCCGCGUGAGGGAUGGAGGCCUUCGGGUUGUAAACCUCUUUCGCUCAUGGUCAAGCCGCAACUUAGGGUUGUGGUGAGGGUAGUGGGUAAAGAAGCGCCGGCUAACUACGUGCCAGCAGCCGCGGUAAUACGUAGGGCGCGAGCGUUGUCCGGAAUUAUUGGGCGUAAAGGGCUUGUAGGCGGUUGGUCGCGUCUGCCGUGAAAUCCUCUGGCUUAACUGGGGGCGUGCGGUGGGUACGGGCUGACUUGAGUGCGGUAGGGGAGACUGGAACUCCUGGUGUAGCGGUGGAAUGCGCAGAUAUCAGGAAGAACACCGGUGGCGAAGGCGGGUCUCUGGGCCGUUACUGACGCUGAGGAGCGAAAGCGUGGGGAGCGAACAGGAUUAGAUACCCUGGUAGUCCACGCUGUAAACGUUGGGCACUAGGUGUGGGGGCCACCCGUGGUUUCUGCGCCGUAGCUAACGCUUUAAGUGCCCCGCCUGGGGAGUACGGCCGCAAGGCUAAAACUCAAAGGAAUUGACGGA